rnacentral:snRNA from 1 species
GUGCUCAUUCUGGCAGCGCGCACACUAAAACGAGAACAACACAGAGAUCAGCACAGCUCCUGUGCAAGGAUAACACGCAGAUUUGUGGGGGAAAGUGUAUGCUC